UCUCUAAGGGCGGGAUCCAAAUCCCACUUAAGUCAAUGGGAAUCUUUCCACUGAUUUCAGUGGGCUUUGGAUCCAGCCCCCAGUGC
rnacentral:pre_miRNA from 1 species